CAGUAGCCGCGGUAAAACGUAGGGUGCAAGCGUUAAUCGGAAUUACUGGGCGUAAAGCGUGCGCAGGCGGUUAUAUAAGUCAGAUGUGAAAUCCCCGGGCUCAACCUGGGAACUGCAUUUGAGACUGUAUGGCUAGAGUGUGUCAGAGGGGGGUAGAAUUCCACGUGUAGCAGUGAAAUGCGUAGAUAUGUGGAGGAAUACCGAUGGCGAAGGCAGCCCCCUGGGAUAACACUGACGCUCAUGCACGAAAGCGUGGGGAGCAAACAGGAUUAGAUACCCCCGUAGUCCCUGUCUCUUAUAC
rnacentral:rRNA from 1 species